rnacentral:lncRNA from 1 species
UCUGGGAGAUCGAUUACAUGCUCAUUAGAGAGUUGUCGCACUAUAUUUCUGAAUUGGAAAAUGCACCGGCAAGAACUAAACAUUUAUUUUCCUCCUUGAACAUAUCAGACAAAUUGCUGCUCAGAUAAUUACCAAGGAAAGUAAUCAGAGCUUGCUUGUUUUUGCUGUUUGAUAGAAAAAAAAUAUUCCAGUCUGGAACAGUUCG